rnacentral:pre_miRNA from 1 species
AUUAUACUCCCUCCGUUCCUAAAUACUUGUCUUUCUAGGCAUUUCAACAAGUGACUACAUACGGAGCAAAAUGAGUGAAUCUACACUCUAAAAUAUGUCUACAUACAUCCGUAUGUAGUAGUCAUUUGAAAUGUCUAGAAAGACAAGUAUUUAGGAACGGAGGGAGUACAUG